rnacentral:lncRNA from 1 species
CUCUUACCUUUUCUUAUAGCUACAUUGCAUUCGGAACCCAUCUGUAAAACUGGUAAACAAAAACAGGAAAGCAGUUUAGUCAAACGGAGUUAUGGAACAUAGCGAAAGACCACGCAGAUGGCGCUGUAUUUUCACUUCCGUGAAUCGAGGUUCAAACGGACGACAAUUGUAGAACAAAAUCAGUAAAACAAGACACAAAACCGCCGC